rnacentral:rRNA from 1 species
GGGGUGCCCAGGCGCGAAAACUUUGCCAUAACGAAAGUGUGACAGGGUCAUCCCGAGUGCCGACCGCUGAGGUUGGCUUUUACCCAGUCUAGAAAGCUGGGGGAAUAAGGAGAGGGCAAGUCUGGUGUCAGCCGCCGCGGUAAUACCAGCUCUCCGAGUGGUGUGGACGUUUAUUGGGCCUAAAGCAUCCGUAGCUGGCUGAACAAGUCCCCUGUUAAACCCACCGAUUUAAUCGUUGGUCUGCGGGGGAUACUGCUCGGCUAGGGGACGAGAGAGGCAGACGGUAUUCCCGGGGUAGGGGUGAAAUCCUAUAAUCCCGAGAAGACCACCAGUGGCGAAGGCUGUCUGCUAGAACGCGCCCGACGGUGAGGGAUGAAAGCUGGGGGAGCGAACCGGAUUAGAUACCCGGGUAGUCCCAGCUGUAAACGAUGCAGACUAGGUGUUUGGACGGCCACGUGCCGUUCUAGUGCCGCAGGGAAGCUGUCAAGUCUGCCGCCUGGGGAGUACGAUCGCAAGAUUGAAACUUAAAGGAAUUGGCGGGGGAGCAC